rnacentral:rRNA from 1 species
GACGGAGGGUGCUAGCGUUGUCCGGAAUUAUUGGGCGUAAAGAGCGUGUAGGCGGUCCGGUAAGUCGGCUGUGAAAGUCCAGGGCUCAACCCUGGGAUGCCGGUCGAUACUGCCGGACUAGAGUUCGGAAGAGGCGAGUGGAAUUCCCCGGUGUAGCGGUGAAAUGCGCAGAUAUCGGGAGGAACACCUAUGGCGAAGGCAGCUCGCUGGGACGUUACUGACGCUGAGACGCGAAAGCGUGGGGAGCAAACAGG